GUUUAGAUAGUUUAAAUAAAAUGUCAAUUUGUGGUAUUGAAGAUAUGAGCUAUUCAUUCUAAACU
rnacentral:tRNA from 1 species